GUUGAACGCUAGCUACAGGCUUAACACAUGCAAGUCGAGGGGUAACGAGAGGGAAGCUUGCUUUCCUUGUCGACGACCGGCGCACGGGUGAGUAACGCGUAUCCAACCUGCCCCCAACUAGGGAAUAACCUUGCGAAAGUAAGACUAAUACCCUAUAAUUUCCUCAGAUGUCAUCUGACGAGGAAUAAAGAUUUAUCGGUUGUGGAUGGGGAUGCGUCUGAUUAGCUUGUUGGCGGGGUAACGGCCCACCAAGGCAACGAUCAGUAGGGGUUCUGGGAGGCAGGUCCCCCACAGUGGAACUGAGACACGGUCCAAACUCCUACGUGAGGCAGCAGUGAGGAAUAUUGGUCCAUGGGCGGAAGCCUGAACCAGCCAAGUAGCGUGCAGGAUGACGGCCCUAUGGGUUGUAAACUGCUUUUAUACAGGAAUAAAGUUAGCCACGUGUGGUUAUUUGUAGCUACUGUAUGAAUAAGCACCGGCUAAUUCCGUGCCAGCAGCCGCCGUAA
rnacentral:rRNA from 1 species